GAUGAACGCUGGCGGCGUGCCUAAUACAUGCAAGUCGAGCGAACAGACGAGGAGCUUGCUCCUCUGACGGUAGCGGCGGACGGGUGAGUAACACGUGGAUAACCUACCUAUAAGACUGGGAUAACUUCGGGAAACCGGAGCUAAUACCGGAUAAUAUAUUGAACCGCAUGGUUCAAUAGUGAAAGACGGUUUUGCUGUCACUUAUAGAUGGAUCCGCGCCGCAUUAGCUAGUUGGUAAGGUAACGGCUUACCAAGGCAACGAUGCGUAGCCGACCUGAGAGGGUGAUCGGCCACACUGGAACUGAGACACGGUCCAGACUCCUACGGGAGGCAGCAGUAGGGAAUCUUCCGCAAAGGGCGAAAGCCUGACGGAGCAACGCCGCGUGAGUGAUGAAGGUCUUCGGAUCGUAAAACUCUGUUAUUAGGGAAGAACAAAUGUGUAAGUAACUAUGCACGUCUUGACGGUACCUAAUCAGAAAGCCACGGCUAACUACGUG
rnacentral:rRNA from 1 species